AUGAAGUUUUCUUCAAAAUGCGCCAGCUCGUUUUCUCCAAAUUUUGUUCAUGUUUCCGAACUUUGUUCACGUUUCAAAAAUAGUUUUGAAUUCCAAAUUUUUGUUGACCGUAUUGAAGAAAAAUGUUCACCGUACAUUGAAAAAAUGUUCAGUAUGUAUAAGAAAAUGUUCAUCAUGUAUAGAAAUUUUGUUCAGCAUGCAUUCAAAAGGAGUUCAUCGUAUUUAAAAAAAGUUCUAUGUGUAUUUGAAUAUUGUUCACCAUACAUUGAAAAAAUGUUCAGUGUGUAUAAUAAAAUGUUCAUCGUGUAG
rnacentral:rRNA from 1 species